AUGAAGAAACCAGAUGCUCCGCAGGGCGUAGCUUUAUACGACCGCAGAGGUUGAACCCUGAACGGUUGGGGCAAGUAUGGACACAACAUUCAAGCUGGAUUCAGCUCUAAAUUUGGAUUGUGAUUAAAUAGUUGACACAGCAUAGGUUUCUGACACAGAAUGAAUGUGUUCUAAUGAACUUAAAAUUUUUGUUUUCUCUUAGAGCAAUUCACUAUGCUGUUGAAUAUUAAUCCUCUCAAAAAAAUGUUUGAAGAAAUUUUCUUUUUUAUUUAUGAAAUUUCAAAUGAGAAAAAUG
rnacentral:lncRNA from 1 species